CUACGGGGUGCAGCAGUGGGGAAUAUUGGACAAUGGGGGAAACCCUGAUCCAGCAAUGCCGCGUGUGUGAAGAAGGCCUGCGGGUUGUAAAGCACUUUCGGUUGGGAGGACUGCUUCUAGCACUAAUAUUGUUGGAAGUUGACGUUACCUUCAGAAGAAGCACCGGCUAACUCCGUGCCAGCAGCCGCGGUAAUACGGAGGGUGCAAACGUUAAUCGGAAUUACUGGGCGUAAAGCGCGCGUAGGCGGCUAGAUCAGUCGGGUGUGAAAGCCCCGGGCUUAACCUGGGAACUGCAUCCGAUACUGUCUAGCUUGAGUACAGGAGAGGAGAGUUGAAUUCCACAUGUAGCGGUGAAAUGCGUAGAUAUGUGGAGGAACACCAAUGGCGCAGGCAGCUCUCUGGACUGAUACUGACGCUGAGGUGCGAAAGCGUGGGGAGCAAACAGGAUUAGAUACCCGGGUAGUC
rnacentral:rRNA from 1 species